GUAAAGGGUAUGUAGGUUGUUAAUUAAGUUUAUUGUUAAAAUUCAAUGAGCUUAACUCUUGCAAAGCAAUUUAAUACUGAUUAACUUUGAGUAUGUAAGAGGAUAGUGGGAUUCUUAGUGGAAAGGUAAAAUUUUAUGAUAUUAAGAAGACGAACCAGCGAAGGCGACUAUCCAUUACAUUACUGACACUGAAAUACAAAAGUAUAGGGAGUAAAAGAGGAUUAGAUACCCUCGUAAUCUAUACCGUGACCUAUGAGUAUUGAAAUUGGGAUAUUAAUUCUAUUUUCCAGCUAACGCGUAAAUACUCCGCCUGGGGACUAAGGUCGCAAGAUUAAAACUCAAAGAAAUUGACGAGAUUUGACCAAAGUAGUGGAGCAUGUGGUUUAAUCCCGAUAGUCCGCGUAAAAAUCUUACCAAUUCUAGUUAUAUGUUUUAAUAUAUAAAUAUAUUAAAUUAAAUUUAAAUAA
rnacentral:rRNA from 1 species